GGGUGAUGAAAGGACCGUUACGGGUUGUAAGACCCUUUCGGCGGGUUAAGAGGUAAUGAACGGUACCCGCCAGAAGAAAGCCCCGGCUAACUUCGUGC
rnacentral:rRNA from 1 species